CUUAUCACUCAAUCCCAUCAUUUUGGGGAAGAAGAUCAAGAAUAAAUGACCUCCCUGAAUUUAUUUGUUUGCUUGCUUUUGUUUUGUUUUUUUAAAUAACACCAUGGGCCCUGAGAGGCUUCUCCUUAAAGGGAUCUGCUUCAGUUUGCUGGAGCAGAGGAGGAGCUGUACAGGAGAGGCAGCUGGCCAGUUGGCUGGAGGGAAAAGACUCCCUUAGCACCAAGCCUCAACUCCCACCCACAAAUAUCAAAGGGCCAGUUUCACGUUGAUAAGUGGACUCUUGUGACUGUAGAAUGCUUAUGAUCCUCCUGAAUGGAUAUAAUUAAAAAGACAGACCACAAAUUGUUUAUCUUCUUCAUCUGACAUCAGGCCAGAGUACUAGAGAAGACUGACAGAUCAUGAGAACAGAAUGAAUGAUUUGCAGAGGAAUAUACUCAAAAACCUUUCAUUAUGAAGAUGUGGCUGCUGCUGUAUUCACUGUGCAGAAAACCCCAGGCCUGCCCUCAGGAUGCCUGGCUUUCGCUCCACAUCUGCAACAUCCCACAAGUCCCGGCCACUCCCAGCACCCACAGGGACCCGUGCAGCGAGGGGUGUGAGGCUUAUGCUUCACUGGCUUCAUGGCUUACCCAGACGUGGUACCGCUGAGGGAGGCUGCAGAAUGACUUGGAUACACUUCCUGGUUGGCCAGGAAGUCACAGGUUAGGCCUGUUCUUCUCGUUUAAAUUUUAAUAAUCCCCUUUUCAUUCUGAAAAAAAAAAUCAGUCCUGUUUUGUAUAGUAACUUAUGUGGUCACCCUAUCUAUAUUGCUCACCUCUGCGAUCACACAAGCCGGGCUCAGGUGGG